GAUGAACGCUGGCGGCGUGCCUAAUACAUGCAAGUCGAGCGAACGGACGAGAAGCUUGCUUCUCUGAUGUUAGCGGCGGACGGGGGAGUAACACGUGGAUAACCUACCUAUAAGACUGGGAUAACUUCGGGAAACCGGAGCUAUUACCGGAUAAUAUUUUGAACCGCAUGGUUCAAAAGUAAAAGACGGUCUUGCUGUCACUUAUAGAUGGAUCCGGGCUGCAUUAGCUAGUUGGUAAGGUAACGGUUUACCAAGGCAACGAUGCAUAGCCGACCUGAGAGGGUGAUCGGCCACACUGGAACAGAGACGCGGUCCAGACUCCUACAGGAGGCAGCAGUAGGGAAUCUUCCGCAAUGGGCGAAAGCCUGACGGAGCAACGCCGAGUGAGGGAUGAAGGUCGUCGGAGCGUAAAACUCUGUUAUUAGGGAAGAACAUAUGUGUAAGUAACUGUGCACAGCUUGACGGUACCUAAUCAGAAAGCCACGGCUAACUACGUG
rnacentral:rRNA from 1 species